ACAGGUUGUAUGUAUUACAUCUGCUGAGUAAAGUUGUCCCUUGUUUAUUUUAAAUAUAGUUGAGAGUGGCUAGCAUAUGAUGACAGGUGGCAGUGAUAUGGAAAGACCAUCAUUUCAUUGCAAAAGUGAAAAUGGAUAAAAAGCUUAAUGUAACCCAUCAACUGAUUUGCUGAGCAAUGUUUAUACACACAUGGCUAUGAAAAAAUGUCCCGUG
rnacentral:lncRNA from 1 species